rnacentral:rRNA from 1 species
UACAUGAGCGACAAGCAUUAUCCGCAAUUAUUGGGUGUAGGGGAUGCGUAGACCGUUUACAAAAUUUAUAUUAACUAGACAAAACAAAAGUUUAGAUUUUAUUAAAACUGUAAUCUAGAGUUUAAAAGGAGUAAAUAUAAUUUAUAAACGAGCGAUAAAAUGCGAAAAAUUUAUAAUUUAUACCAAUGGUGAAAACAAUUUACUAUUUUAAACUGACGUUGAGGCAUGAAAGUAUAGUUAUCGAACAGG